rnacentral:tRNA from 1 species
CGGGGUAUGGCGCAGUUGGUAGCGCACCUGCUUUGGGAGCAGGGGGUCGCCAGUUCGAAUCCGGCUGCCCCGACCA